rnacentral:lncRNA from 1 species
AAUAUUCCUCCGCUCUCACUCAUUCCCCAGGAUGAUCAGAUGACUCCUUCCACAGGACAAGAUACAAAAUACCCUUUGCCCAUUUGUACAUUCAAGGAAAGGCAUUUCUGGACCAGAGUACUGCCAGACAGAAGAAAGGGAGAGGUGAAGAGGAAGAAUGAACAGAGGGUGCCAAGAUCUGCACGACUAUAGGGAUUAAAAGAGUCACAGCUGUGGAGAGAGGUGGGGGGGCGUGGAGAGAGAGAGAGAGAGAGGGAGAAGGAAGCAGAGCAGAUAUGCAGGUCUGUCUGCAGGUCGACAAACGUCUCAUUCCGAGUUUGAGCUUUGACAACAGCCGGCAGUUUGGGGGCAGAAAGCAGCGCAUCUGCCGGUCUGUGAUUGCUGAAGAGAAGCGCCCAUUCCCUUUCUCCACAAAGAAAAAAUGGCAUUUAUCUCAAGUACAGCCAGGCAGAUUAGGAUUCACCUCCCCCACCCUCUUUCUUCCCUCUUCCUCCUCCUGGCUCCCUCACCGCCUCCCCUUCCUGUUGGAAAAGAAAAGGUGGGAGGGGAGAGGGAGGGGGAGGAGGACCCGCCGGCCACAGACAACGCGGUGGGAGUCUCUUUUCUUCGGCUUUUACCAGCCUAUGGGGGUCAGGAUGCUAUUGGUUCAGCUUUACGGGUGAUCUGCUGCCUCUCACUUAGCAACAGCGAGCCAGGGAGGCAGGAAGCGACGCCACCAGGCUCAGGGAGCGUGCGGAUGGUUUAAAACGAGCCACUCACUCGGAGGGGAGACGGAAGGGGAGAGAGAGAGAGAGAAAGAGAGCAGUCUGAGCUUAACACACUGUAGCAUUAAGAGCAAGGCUUAAUCGGGGAGUUAAGCACAACCAACCGGCAGGCUAUGGGGAAGAGCAGAGACUGGACAGGAGUUAUUUUUAAUGAGUACCUGUAUAAAUCAUAUACAGAAAGCCUUCCUGUAUUUUUUUUUAAAGGACAAACUGCUCUGUGCUGCACGUGUGGUGCGUUGGGAGAGAGAUCGGUUCUCUAGGCAAAAGAAAAAUAAUUAUAAUAAGAGAUAAGAUGAAUCUAAAACUGUACAGCAGGCUUACUCGGUUUUAUUUUGUUUUCACACCAGGGUGCUACUAGAAAAGAAAAAGUAAAAUUGGGUGUACUUGAAAAAGCAAUUGGCUAUGUAAUCCCAGGGUUUUGGGUGGAUUUUUUUGUUGUUGGGUUUGUUUGUUUUUUUUAAUUAGUCCACAGAGUAGCUGUUUCUAAAUCCUAAAUUCCAUUUUAGCAUUUGAGAAUUAACUUUCUGGGGUGGAAAGCGCCAAAAAAGAAGUACAUCUCUGCUGGAGAGAGAUUUUUUUUUCUCUCUCUCUCUCUUUGCUUCCUUUGUGGUAAAAGGGAAAUUUCUGAGAAGGAUGCUGAUAGAAGUUCUGAAAGCUCACACCGCCUCAAUGUAACAGGGCUCAGGGCCAAUAACAACAAGGAAAUGUAUUCCGCGAGUCCAUAUUCUUUCAUUUCUCUUAAUAGAAUUUUCCCUUCCCCUCCAUCCCAGGUCCCCCACCAGACUUGAGAAGGAGUAUGUCACUUCUGUUUAUCCCCCUCAACUCAACCCACCGCAUCACAUCAAACAGCCUAGCCCCUGACUCUAAAAUAUAGAUGGGAAGGUAUCUUGCUUCCCUUCUUGGAGAGAAAAAUGGUGCCUUUCAACAUGGACUGGAGUCUUUCAUUGGUGUCAACUGGGGCCCUAGCGACAAAGACAAGCAGCCGGGAGGGCACAGAUGGACCUUUAUCUGCCCAAAUAAACCAGACCCAAUUAACCCCUUCAGCUCUGAGCAGUCAGAAGCCACUGACUACAGUGACACCUACUGCUCGGGGUGCAGUUGUACAACGUGGUACCACCUACCAGGUUCUCAACAUUUGCUCCACUGAUAGGGGUUCCGCUGAAUACACAUUUUUCUACUCUGGGCAGCUGGCCGCAGGACCUCCUCAUGGGUCAGGGGCCCUCUCCCCUGAGGUAUAAAUGCUCCUGUGUAGAAACUGACUCACUAGCAGUGACUGUACACAAGAGGGAGAGAGAACAUAAUUGGACAAAAGCCUCCUUCAGAAUCACGAUGAAGGUCAGAUCACUUUUAUUAACUAUCCUCUUUGAUACCUGGUUAAAUAAUCUUGGGCAAAAUGAAACUUUUAUCCAGCAUCCACGGAAUUUUACUCUAUAGAGAAAUAUAUGACAGUGAAGGAUUAGUACAAUAAAGGUCUUUAGAAACUCCACUCCCAUAGUUUAUAUAAUAGCAUGUUAAUCAAUUCACAUUUCUUUUACUCUAUGUGUAUAGUCAGAUCCCAGAAAUUCCCUUCCAUUGAGGAAAAAAGUCCAUUUAAUUAUAAACGUUAAAGUUAUAGCCUUCUGAAAGCAAGCAAAAAUGCCUAUAUGUUAAUGACAAAAAUAUCUAUCAGCCUUAUGAUUUUUUUUUCCAGUAAGGACAAGAAACAAUGUCACUAACAGAAGUCAUGAUUUCUCCCAAAAUAGGCACUAUAUUUAAAACUAUAUUAAAGGUGCCAAGAUGAUUGUAAAAGUAAUGUCAGGGGUCAGGUGAUACAGCUUGAUUCAUUUUUUUGGGGGAAAAAAAAAAGUCUAAGGUGUCUUCACCAACAUAGGUACACAUCGAACAGAACACCAGUAAUGCUGAAAAUUCAAAUGUCGCUCAUCUUUAAAGAUGCUCAAAGUGCUGUGCAAAUAUUCUGCUUUUUAUUCCCAAACUUCCAAACUUUUUAUGUCCAACUAGAUGCUAGGUUGUGACAUUCUCAUUUCCCAUCUGGGAAACAGGAGUCUUGCAGAUUACCCAGUGUCACAGAGGGAACCAUUUUCAAGCUGAAGUCAGAAGCAGGUUCUUGAUGUCUAGCCCAUGGGCCAUGGGUACCUGGCAAUUCUCUGACUCCCAUGGUGAGGUCUCCCUCUUACCUCUUAGAGAUCUCUCAUCACUGAGUGUUAAUCUCUGCCAUUGUCACAGAGCUGAGACAUCAUUCUACUUACAUUCUCUUUCAAAUUUUUUAGUUUGUGAUCUCACUUAUCAGGUGCUUUCACCAAACGAGUUAAAGAAAAAAAUUAGCAUGCAGGAGGCUAGAAUAAAACCUACCCAAAAAACCCAGAAAUUGUUCAAACAUGUGUCAAAUGAAAGGUAAAAUUUAUGCACCUCUAUGUACACAAUUGUCUAUUUUAACUGAAAUGAGUAUCAAGGAGACUCCUCAGUAUCAGAGGAGAUUCUGAAAACCAGCUGUAGGGAACUCACCACUUAGAUAAAAUCCACAAGGUGGAGCUGCAAUGGGGCAUCGGGCCGUGUGGCCUAAUUGUAGCACAACAGGGAGGCUUUCCUUCUUUUUCACAGCUCAUGCUGACAGAACACACGGGAACACAAACCCGCGUUGUGUGUGCGCAGGGAAGUGCUAUGACUACGCCACCCAUCACCCAACCCUACGUGCAGAAAUCUGGUCACGGGGGUGAGGGUGGUAGAAAUGGCAUCCACAAAUGUCCCUCCAAAAUCUCACACACUUUUUUAUAAUGAGAGACUCUUCCCCUCAAAAUAUUUCCCUAAGAGAGAAGCAAAUGGUGCUCAAUUUAAGCCUGUGAUUCAUUUCUUUUCCAGACACUGUUUCAGCAUGAACCCCCAAUGUUCAGAAUUAACCAACCUAACAGACAUCACUUAUGUCAGUUGUAUGUAUACUUAGGUAACUUGUAUACAGAGAGCUGGGAAACAGGCACCUAGAACAGCCCUUGUUCAAAAUGUAUAUUAUCAAAUCAAUCGUGCCAGAUGCAAGAUGCAGAAUGCAAGGUGAGGGCUUACACAGGCUUCAGAAGGUAACAUGAGUUGUGGGCACCAAUGACCGGCACUCCUGGUUAGAGUUGGAUGGUCUAGGCUUGGGCCACGUAGCUUCAAAACACUGUCUGCCCCUGGCCCUCACAACCAACCGUGGUUCUUAUCUAUUUAACUGCUUCAGAUCUAAAGAGAUUUGCCAUAAGUGGCUCCUACAGUUCCACUUUUAUAAACAAAAUAGAACACCAUAAACAUGCACGUAUGUGUAUAUCUACAGUUUUUGUUUGUUUGUUUGUUUUUUUGAAGGCAUAGACCAGGGCCAGCAAAGGGUCAUUUAGUAAGUAGUUUAGGUUUUCAGGGCCAAAAGGCAAAAUCGACACUCUUAUGUAGAUACUUACAUAAUGAGAGAGAAACAUUUCCAAAAACUUCUUAUUGCCAAAAUGUAAUACUUUUUUGUGGACACUAACGCUUGAAUGUCACACUAUUUUCACAUCUCAUUCUUCCUUGGCAUUCUUUUCAAUGAUAUAAAUAUGUAAAAAUCAUUCUUAGCCUGUGGACUGCACAGAAACAGGUGGUGGGGCCGUUUUGGCUCAUGAGCCCUAGUUUGCGAGCCCAGAAUGUACCCUACGUGGUUAAAACGGUGGUUAGGUUGAGGGAAUGGGCAGGAGAGCUGAAAGAUACGUCCCUUUUUUCACUUUUUAAUUAAGGCAUUUCUGUAUCAUUUACCCUUUCAUUGCAGGAUGUAUUACACUAUGAUUUCAAAAGCCAGAAUGGAAGACAUGAUGUGAUUGGUUAUUUAAAGACGUCUUCAGAGCUUUCCGGUUCCUCCAUAUCCUUCUUAUUUAACUUCAUCCCCUAGGUCUCUGUGCCUACAGCCCUAUCCUCCCCUCCUCUUUUCAGGCCUUUGCUGCCUGGGAGCAUCACGCUUCAAGGCUUCCUUCCUGGUCUUUACUUCCUCCUUUAAGACUUCCAGAUCACAGACAGGAACGGGAAACCUUCCGUUCUCCCAUCAUCACUUGUCAGUUAACAGCGUGGGGUUGUCUGGUCUCAUAAUUAGCCUAUGAGCUGCUCACAGGCAGGGACCACCUCGGAAGCUUCAGGAGCCUCGCAGUGCUGAGCAGUAAGGAAGCUCCACGUAGGUGUUUGACAAACACAUGACAGCAUUUUGGUCACCCUCUGCUAAAACACAACAGUAGAAUAUUUAAGAAAUAUUCUGGGAUCCGUGGAUGGGAGUUAGAAGGAUGGAAAUGUUGGCUUGAUGUAUGAAAAUAUUAUUUUCUAACUUUUAAAACCGUCCAACAAUGAAAUAUGCUGCCUCUUGAAAUAACACAUUUCCUGACACUAAAAAGUAUUCAAAACACAAGUGUAUGACCAUCUGUCAGGGAUUCUGUAGAAGGAAUUCCUGGAUUAUUUAGGUCAGACCACAUGGGCUCUAAAGUCCCUUCUCACUCAAGAAUUUGUUAUUCUUAUCGACUCUAUGUCCCUACCCCAAAUAUCUCAUUUAUUUGUUAAAAUUUAAGUGAUUUAAAGUAACAGAGGUGAUAAGUUCACAAGUCAGAGCAUCAAAAACUCUA